GACGAACGCUGGCGGCGUGCUUAACACAUGCAAGUCGAACGGAAAGGCCCUGCUUUUGUGGGGUGCUCGAGUGGCGAACGGGUGAGUAACACGUGAGUAACCUGCCCUUGACUUUGGGAUAACUUCAGGAAACUGGGGCUAAUACCGGAUAGGAGCUCCUGCUGCAUGGUGGGGGUUGGAAAGUUUCGGCGGUUGGGGAUGGACUCGCGGCUUAUCAGCUUGUUGGUGGGGUAGUGGCUUACCAAGGCUUUGACGGGUAGCCGGCCUGAGAGGGUGACCGGCGACAUUGGGACGGAGAGAAGGCCCAGACGCCGACGGGAGGCAGCAGGGGGGAAUAUGGCACAAUGGGCGGAAGCCUGAUGCAGCAACGCCGCGUGCGGUAGGACGGCCGUCGGGGUGUAAACCGCUUGCGCCUGUGACGAAGCGUGAGUGACGGUAAUGGGUAAAGAAGCACCGGCUAACUACGUG
rnacentral:rRNA from 1 species